rnacentral:rRNA from 1 species
GGUUAAGUUAGAAAGGGCGCACGGUGGAUGCCUUGACACUAGGAGUCGAUGAAGGACGGGACUAACGCCGAUAUGCUUCGGGGAGCUGUAAGUAAGCUUUGAUCCGAAGAUUUCCGAAUGGGGAAACCCACCAUACGUAAUGGUAUGGUAUCCUUAUCUGAAUACAUAGGGUAAGGAAGACAGACCCAGGGAACUGAAACAUCUAAGUACCUGGAGGAAGAGAAAGCAAAUGCGAUUUCCUGAGUAGCGGCGAGCGAAACGGAACAUAGCCCAAACCAAGAGGCUUGCCUCUUGGGGUUGUAGGACAUUCUAUACGGAGUUACAAAGGAACGAGGUAGACGAAGCGACCUGGAAAGGUCCGUCGUAGAGGGUAACAACCCCGUAGUCGAAACUUCGUUCUCUCUUGAAUGUAUCCUGAGUACGGCGGAACACGUGAAAUUCCGUCGGAAUCUGGGAGGACCAUCUCCCAAGGCUAAAUACUCCCUAGUGAUCGAUAGUGAACCAGUACCGUGAGGGAAAGGUGAAAAGCACCCCGGAAGGGGAGUGAAAGAGAUCCUGAAACCGUGUGCCUACAAAUAGUCAGAGCCCGUUAACGGGUGAUGGCGUGCCUUUUGUAGAAUGAACCGGCGAGUUACGAUCCCGUGCGAGGUUAAGCUGAAGAGGCGGAGCCGCAGCGAAAGCGAGUCUGAAUAGGGCGUUUAGUACGUGGUCGUAGACCCGAAACCAGGCGAUCUACCCAUGUCCAGGGUGAAGUUCAGGUAACACUGAAUGGAGGCCCGAACCCACGCACGUUGAAAAGUGCGGGGAUGAGGUGUGGGUAGCGGAGAAAUUCCAAUCGAACCUGGAGAUAGCUGGUUCUCCCCGAAAUAGCUUUAGGGCUAGCCUUAAGUGUAAGAGUCUUGGAGGUAGAGCACUGAUUGGACUAGGGGUCCUCAUCGGAUUACCGAAUUCAGUCAAACUCCGAAUGCCAAUGACUUAUCCUUAGGAGUCAGACUGCGAGUGAUAAGAUCCGUAGUCAAAAGGGAAACAGCCCAGACCGCCAGCUAAGGUCCCAAAGUGUGUAUUAAGUGGAAAAGGAUGUGGAGUUGCUUAGACAACUAGGAUGUUGGCUUAGAAGCAGCCACCAUUUAAAGAGUGCGUAAUAGCUCACUAGUCGAGUGACUCUGCGCCGAAAAUGUACCGGGGCUAAAUACACCACCGAAGCUGCGGAUUGAUACCAAUGGUAUCAGUGGUAGGGGAGCGUUCUAAGGACAGUGAAGUCAGACCGGAAGGACUGGUGGAGUGCUUAGAAGUGAGAAUGCCGGUAUGAGUAGCGAAAGACGGGUGAGAAUCCCGUCCACCGAAUGCCUAAGGUUUCCUGAGGAAGGCUCGUCCGCUCAGGGUUAGUCAGGACCUAAGCCGAGGCCGACAGGCGUAGGCGAUGGACAACAGGUUGAUAUUCCUGUACCACCUCUUUAUCGUUUGAGCAAUGGAGGGACGCAGAAGGAUAGAAGAAGCGUGCGAUUGGUUGUGCACGUCCAAGCAGUUAGGCUGAUAAGUAGGCAAAUCCGCUUAUCGUGAAGGCUGAGCUGUGAUGGGGAAGCUCCUUAUGGAGCGAAGUCUUUGAUUCCCCGCUGCCAAGAAAAGCUUCUAGCGAGAUAAAAGGUGCCUGUACCGCAAACCGACACAGGUAGGCGAGGAGAGAAUCCUAAGGUGUGCGAGAGAACUCUGGUUAAGGAACUCGGCAAAAUGACCCCGUAACUUCGGGAGAAGGGGUGCUUUCUUAACGGAAAGCCGCAGUGAAUAGGCCCAAGCGACUGUUUAGCAAAAACACAGCUCUCUGCGAAGCCGUAAGGCGAAGUAUAGGGGGUGACACCUGCCCGGUGCUGGAAGGUUAAGGAGAGGGGUUAGCGUAAGCGAAGCUCUGAACUGAAGCCCCAGUAAACGGCGGCCGUAACUAUAACGGUCCUAAGGUAGCGAAAUUCCUUGUCGGGUAAGUUCCGACCCGCACGAAAGGUGUAACGAUUUGGGCACUGUCUCAACCAGAGACUCGGUGAAAUUAUAGUACCUGUGAAGAUGCAGGUUACCCGCGACAGGACGGAAAGACCCCGUGGAGCUUUACUGUAGCCUGAUAUUGAAUUUUGGUACAGUUUGUACAGGAUAGGCGGGAGCCUUUGAAACCGGAGCGCUAGCUUCGGUGGAGGCGCUGGUGGGAUACCGCCCUGACUGUAUUGAAAUUCUAACCUACGGGUCUUAUCGACCCGGGAGACAGUGUCAGGUGGGCAGUUUGACUGGGGCGGUCGCCUCCUAAAGUGUAACGGAGGCGCCCAAAGGUUCCCUCAGAAUGGUUGGAAAUCAUUCGUAGAGUGCAAAGGCAUAAGGGAGCUUGACUGCGAGACCUACAAGUCGAGCAGGGACGAAAGUCGGGCUUAGUGAUCCGGUGGUUCCGCAUGGAAGGGCCAUCGCUCAACGGAUAAAAGCUACCCCGGGGAUAACAGGCUUAUCUCCCCAAGAGUCCACAUCGACGGGGAGGUUUGGCACCUCGAUGUCGGCUCAUCGCAUCCUGGGGCUGUAGUCGGUCCCAAGGGUUGGGCUGUUCGCCCAUUAAAGCGGUACGCGAGCUGGGUUCAGAACGUCGUGAGACAGUUCGGUCCCUAUCCGUCGUGGGCGUAGGAAAUUUGAGAGGAGCUGUCCUUAGUACGAGAGGACCGGGAUGGACGCACCGCUGGUGUACCAGUUGUUCUGCCAAGGGCAUAGCUGGGUAGCUAUGUGCGGAAGGGAUAAGUGCUGAAAGCAUCUAAGCAUGAAGCCCCCCUCAAGAUGAGAUUUCCCAUAGCGUAAGCUAGUAAGAUCCCUGAAAGAUGAUCAGGUUGAUAGGUUCGAGGUGGAAGCAUGGUGACAUGUGGAGCUGACGAAUACUAAUAGAUCGAGGACUUAACCAU